GAUGAACGCUGGCGGCGUGCCUAAUACAUGCAAGUCGAGCGAACGGACGAGAAGCUUGCUUCUCUGAUGUUAGCGGCGGACGGGUGAGUAACACGUGGAUAACCUACCUAUAAGACUGGGAUAACUUCGGGAAACCGGAGCUAAUACCGGAUAAUAUUUUGAACCGCAUGGUUCAAAAGUGAAAGACGGUCUUGCUGUCACUUAUAGAUGGAUCCGCGCUGCAUUAGCUAGUUGGUAAGGUAACGGCUUACCAAGGCAACGAUGCAUAGCCGACCUGAGAGGGUGAUCGGCCACACUGGAACUGAGACACGGUCCAGACUCCUACGGGAGGCAGCAGUAGGGAAUCUUCCGCAAUGGGCGAAAGCCUGACGGAGCAACGCCGCGUGAGUGAUGAAGGUCUUCGGAUCGUAAAACUCUGUUAUUAGGGAAGAACAUAUGUGUAAGUAACUGUGCACAUCUUGACGGUACCUAAUCAGAAAGCCACGGCUAACUACGUGCCAGCAGCCGCGGUAAUACGUAGGUGGCAAGCGUUAUCCGGAAUUAUUGGGCGUAAAGCGCGCGUAGGCGGUUUUUUAAGUCUGAUGUGAAAGCCCACGGCUCAACCGUGGAGGGUCAUUGGAAACUGGAAAACUUGAGUGCAGAAGAGGAAAGUGGAAUUCCAUGUGUAGCGGUGAAAUGCGCAGAGAUAUGGAGGAACACCAGUGGCGAAGGCGACUUUCUGGUCUGUAACUGACGCUGAUGUGCGAAAGCGUGGGGAUCAAACAGGAUUAGAUACCCUGGUAGUCCACGCCGUAAACGAUGAGUGCUAAGUGUUAGGGGGUUUCCGCCCCUUAGUGCUGCAGCUAACGCAUUAAGCACUCCGCCUGGGGAGUACGACCGCAAGGUUGAAACUCAAAGGAAUUGACGGGGACCCGCACAAGCGGUGGAGCAUGUGGUUUAAUUCGAAGCAACGCGAAGAACCUUACCAAAUCUUGACAUCCUUUGACAACUCUAGAGAUAGAGCCUUCCCCUUCGGGGGACAAAGUGACAGGUGGUGCAUGGUUGUCGUCAGCUCGUGUCGUGAGAUGUUGGGUUAAGUCCCGCAACGAGCGCAACCCUUAAGCUUAGUUGCCAUCAUUAAGUUGGGCACUCUAAGUUGACUGCCGGUGACAAACCGGAGGAAGGUGGGGAUGACGUCAAAUCAUCAUGCCCCUUAUGAUUUGGGCUACACACGUGCUACAAUGGACAAUACAAAGGGCAGCGAAACCGCGAGGUCAAGCAAAUCCCAUAAAGUUGUUCUCAGUUCGGAUUGUAGUCUGCAACUCCACUACAUGAAGCUGGAAUCGCUAGUAAUCGUAGAUCAGCAUGCUACGGUGAAUACGUUCCCGGGUCU
rnacentral:rRNA from 1 species